AAACUUGCAUUAGAACCAGCACACAUAUUCUAGAACUUUGCAUGCAUACCUUGCAUCUCCCAAGUGUCUCUAUUUAGGAGGAAAAAGUCCAUAUUUUUGGCCCAAAAUCCCUCUGUCCCUCUUUUCUUUUGCAGUGGACCUUUUUUCCGAGCUCCAUAUUGUUGGUUUGUAUAAUAGAGCUCCACAGCAAUAAUGCUUCCAGUAAUGUGUCUUUAAACUACAAUAAAUGUGUUUAGCAAUCAGUCUGUAGCCCAUGGAGCAGCGUAGUUAAGGGGAGUGGGCCUUGACAUUGCCAGGAGACAGGCCAUCUAAAGGUCAGUAGUCAGGGACUGGUCAUUGGAAAUGGUGGGGUGGAGUUUUAAAGGGGAGUAUAAGUAGUGGCCAUUUUGGGACCAAGGAUCACUUUAAUCUAAGUUACACUUACCUGUUUGUUGUCCAACCCACCCUCCCUUUGCUUUCAGGUGUUUCCCGUUUGGUCACGGCGGCGGGGGAUGGAGAGUAAAGUUGGGGGGGAGAAAAGAGUGAGAUGGGGAAAAAGUUUGGAGUUCAGGGCUAAUGGGUAGGCCUUUGGACUGGUUUGGUAGGUUCGAGCUCGUAGGUAGCUCCGAACCGGGGUGUGUAUGGGGUGUCUCGGUAUGCCCCUACACUUGUGGUGCCCUUUGGUGGCAAUGGAUGGUGCCCUUUGGUGGCAAUGGUCAAGUUCAUGUUAAAUAAAAUGUUCAAUGUUUGGGUAUUAUGUUAUGUGGGGGUGGGUCAUUGUCAAG